CAAUUAGAAUGUAUGCGAGGCCCUAUAGCAUUUUAUGUUCGCGCCUUGCGUGUGUUAUCUUCGCGUCAUCGAUUCUUUAAAAAUAAUUUACGCAAAUCGCGAUGACACACAUGCUAUUUAUCCCGUGAAUCUCUUUCGCUAGGUCCGAGUUUUGGCAAUAACAACGCUACCACGAGAAAGAAAGAUAGAGAGAGAGAGAGAGAGAGAGAGAGAGAGGAAAUCGAAGCUACGAUCCUAAGCGCAUCAUUCCGCGCGAUUUAAUUUGCAGCUCGUCGGAAUUAACAUUGUGAUGCAGCCCGAACAGCUCGUUAUUUGACACAAGCAACGUGUCUGAAUGCAGGAAGAGUAGCAAUUAUCUUGCGUUAAACAAACUGUCCCGUCGUCGGUGGAAGUCGUAAAUAUUGCAAACCUGCUGUCGAACAUUAUUAAUGCGAAGGAUAAACCGGUGCAACCACGAUCUAUUUAAAAAUAUUAUGAUCGCGCGCUGUGUUGCACCGCCGCAAACAUUCUACAUUAUCACGCGAAUUCUUCGCAAAGAUUUCACGCUGCGAACGAGUAAUAUUACGAGGACGACGUCAUAUUAUUUCAUGUACAAGUUUCGAGUCCAAAAAUUUCCCAUUGCAAACCAUUCACCAGAGACAAACAAGCGUCAGUCGUUGAGCAAAAAUUAAAAAAUUCUCUCCCGAGAUACCGUUUAUCGGGGAAAAACAUCGACUUCAGAUGUUACCAGCCGUAGAGUUCGUAGUGAGGAUAGGCAAUUAACGUGAUAUUGUGCGCAUCGUGAUUUUAUUGCGCAACGGAAUAUCGCAGAGAAUUAGAAUAAGUGCUACAUAUGCAUUUCUACAGAUAAUAUCUGGAUUUUUUCUACGCAAGCAUCGACGUCACGACGGGCGCAUGUAUCGCGCGACGCCUCUGGCGAGCCUACUGCAUGGCGAGCCGAUGCAACAUUGCUUCGCGGUGACAAAUGUUAUCGUGAGAUUCUCCAGAUCAAAGAUCAUUUUAAAACGUUUUCAAAUUCACGACAUGAUUUGCGCUUUAAUUAGGAAAUUGAAAUAUUUGUUUAAUUAAUUACAUAAUUUUUGUUAAGCUUGAUCUAUUUUUAUGUUCUAUAUAUCUAUUGUAUAUUAACUCUAUCUCUACCCUCUAUAGCAAGCAGCACGUAAACGUUUGAGGAACGUUCGCUUUAUGUUCACUUGGCUUAUUUAUAUUCAAACAAAGUUGGAACGUUCGAAGAACAUACGUUUUAGAACCUUUAAUCCAUUGCAUACGCAAGCGGAAUAUUCCGCGCAUGACGAUCGUCUACUAUCACCGAGCGCGGAAUAUUCCACGAGCCGCGAAUUUCUUAUAUCACCGCUCGCGGAAUAUUCCACAUAUGACACAGUUCAAGUUUUGUCAUCAAUCUGUGAGCAUUUGAGCUAUUUCCAUUGUAUUCCUAACAAAUUUAUGUUAAAUUAAUUAUACAAACUCUUUGGAAGUCAUUUACUGUAGAAGUUUACUGUGCACAAUAGAACGAGUGUACUGUAGAAGUUAACGAAAAUAAUAAAACUGUCGAUAUACGCGCGUGGUGAUACGGGCCAACCGUUAGUUGAACGCCGCUGAUGUCUGAACAUAGAAACCGAACGUUCCUCGAACGUUUACGUGCUGCUUGGGACGACUAUUUAUAUUCUUUCCUCUGCUGCUCUCGCAAGUCACGCAAUUGAGAGUGCUCGAUCUCAGAGCCGUUGACGUUAUAAUACUGGAACAGUUUGGUAGCAUAUGAAAACUUUGAUAAAACUACCUCGGUUUUACGUUGAAGAGGGAAGAAAGAUGGUUUUCGGUGAUUUCUAAAAAUGCAAGUAUUUUCCAAUUCAAAUCGUUUUGUGAUGAUCGAAACAAGUGAUAAUGCGUUAAUGCAAUAUCAAGAGAAUAUAUUUGUAAUAUCGAAGCGAGAAUAGACCAUAUUUGAAAAUUCAGCAGAACAUUGUUACUUUUACAGCCAAGUUACUAAUAUACAAAAUUGUUUAUAUCUCAGAAACGAUUGAGUUUUCGACCUAUAUUUACUAAGACUCCUGUAUUCAACAUAAGAUGUACCAUCUACCGUCCGAACAAUAAAUGCCCUUUUUUUACAAUAUCAAUACGCGAAUAACUAUACCUUUUUCAUGUUUCGGUGUUAUGUAACCUGUGAUAAAGACGUCAAGCAAUUACAAUAAAUCUAACAUGGUCCAUUGUAGGAACAGCAACGUCACGAUUCGGCAAACGCCAAUACAAACGUUCUAUGCGAGCUAGUCGAUCUUCAUUACAGGUAUUAACUGCGUCUGAAUGCAACACGAUCAUAUGUGAUACGAUGAGCAAUAAUUGUGUAUCAUCGAAAAAUAUAAGGUCUUGUAAAAAGUAAUCCAUUAUUUUUGUAUCAUAUUGG